AGGACGAACGCUGGCGGCACGCUUAACACAUGCAAGUCGAACGAGGUCCAUCCACUCGCAAGAGUGGUGAAGACCUAGUGGCGAACGGGUGAGUAACACGUGAGAAACCUGCCCCGAAGACCGGGAUAACUCACCGAAAGGUGAGCUAAUACCGGAUGCCUUCACGACGUCUCAUGGCGAUGUGAAGAAAUGGAUUCCGCUUUGGGAGGGUCUCGCGGCCUAUCAGCUAGUUGGUGAGGUAACGGCUCACCAAGGCGACGACGGGUAGCUGUUCUGAGAGGAAGAUCAGCCACACUGGGACUGAGACACGGCCCAGACUCCUACGGGAGGCAGCAGUGGGGAAUCUUGCGCAAUGGGCGAAAGCCUGACGCAGCGAUGCCGCGUGCGGAAGACGGCCUUCGGUUGUAACCGCUUUCAGCAGGACGAAAUGACGACUGCAGAAGAAGCUCCGGCCAACUACGUAGCCAGCGAGCCG
rnacentral:rRNA from 1 species